rnacentral:rRNA from 1 species
UACGUAGGGUGCGAGCGUUAAUCGGAAUUACUGGGCGUAAAGCGUGCGCAGGCGGUUUUGCAAGACAGAUGUGAAAUCCCCGGGCUUAACCUGGGAACUGCAUUUGUGACUGCAAGGCUGGAGUGCGGCAGAGGGGGAUGGAAUUCCGCGUGUAGCAGUGAAAUGCGUAGAUAUGCGGAGGAACACCGAUGGCGAAGGCAAUCCCCUGGGCCUGCACUGACGCUCAUGCACGAAAGCGUGGGGAGCAAACAGG